UACCUGGCGGCUGCUUUCACAUGCAAGUCGAACGGCAGCACGGGUGCUUGCACCUGGUGGCGAGUGGCGAACGGGUGAGUAAUGCAUUGGAACGUACCGAGUAGUGGGGGAUAACUGUCCGAAAGGAUAGCUAAUACCGCAUACGACCUGAGGGUGAAAGCGGGGGACUUUUAGGAGCCUCGCGCUAUUUGAGCGGCCAAUGUCUGAUUAGGUAGUUGGUGGGGUAAAGGCCUACCAAGCCGACGAUCAGUAGCGGGUCUGAGAGGAUGAUCCGCCACACUGGGACUGAGACACGGCCCAGACUCCUACGGGAGGCAGCAGUGGGGAAUUUUGGACAAUGGGGGGAACCCUGAUCCAGCCAUGCCGCGUGUCUGAAGAAGGCCUUCGGGUUGUAAAGGACUUUUGUCGGGGAAGAAAAGCGGAUUGAUAAUACCAGUUCGUGAUGACGGUACCCGAAGAAUAAGCACCGGCUAACUACGUGCCAGCAGCCGCGGUAAU
rnacentral:rRNA from 1 species